CUAUGUGCGUUUGUCUUAUCCUAAAAGAUAUUGGAUCAUUGCUGGUUUGAUAUUUUGUAGCAUGUCAAGCAUUGGUCAAGUAAAUUUUAGGCCAAUUUUCUUGGCUGUUCUGAAUGUCCUUUUGAACCGCCUAGAGUGCGUUAAUGCACAUUGCUUAACGGUUGUCAUUGCCAGGUUAUUGUUGCAUGGUAACUUGAUAACAGGUUUGAGAUUACCCCUUGGGACAACCUGU
rnacentral:lncRNA from 1 species